GCGCCUGUAGCUCAGCUGGAUAGAGUACCUGGCUACGAACCAGGCGGUCGGAGGUUCGAAUCCUUCCGGGCGCG
rnacentral:tRNA from 1 species